AGUGAACGCUGGCGGUAGGCCUAACACAUGCAAGUCGAACGGCAGCACAGUAAGAGCUUGCUCUUACGGGUGGCGAGUGGCGGACGGGUGAGGAAUACAUCGGCAUCUACUUUUUCGUGGGGGAUAACGUAGGGAAACUUACGCUAAUACCGCAUACGACCUACGGGUGAAAGCAGGGGAUCUUCGCACCUUGCGCGAUUGAAUGAGCCGAUGUCGGAUUAGCUAGUUGGCGGGGUAAAGGCCCACCAAGGCGACGAUCCGUAGCUGGUCUGAGAGGAUGAUCAGCCGCACUGGAACUGAGACACGGUCCAGACUCCUACGGGAGGCAGCAGUGGGGAAUAUUGGACAAUGGGCGCAAGCCUGAUCCAGCCAUACCGCGUGAGUGAAGAAGGCCUUCGGAUUGUAAAGCCCUUUUAUUGGGAAAGAAAAGCAGCGUGUUAAUACCCCGCUGUUCUGACGGUACCCAAAGAAUAAGCACCGGCUAACUUCGUG
rnacentral:rRNA from 1 species